rnacentral:miRNA from 1 species
GCUCGGGGGUGGGGGGCAGGGGGGGUGCGGCUGGCUGCUGGGCUCUGUUUCAGGACUUCCUGUGCCG